AUUGAACGCUGGCGGCAUGCCUUACACAUGCAAGUCGAACGGUAACGGGCCUUCGGGUGCCGACGAGUGGCGAACGGGUGAGUAAUGUAUCGGAACGUACCUUUCAGUGGGGGAUAACGUAGCGAAAGUUACGCUAAUACCGCAUAUUCUGUGAGCAGGAAAGCAGGGGAUCGCAAGACCUUGCGCUGAUUGAGCGGCCGAUAUCAGAUUAGCUAGUUGGUGAGGUAAAGGCUCACCAAGGCGACGAUCUGUAGCGGGUCUGAGAGGAUGAUCCGCCACACUGGAACUGAGACACGGUCCAGACUCCUACGGGAGGCAGCAGUGGGGAAUUUUGGACAAUGGGGGCAACCCUGAUCCAGCCAUGCCGCGUGAGUGAAGAAGGCCUUCGGGUUGUU
rnacentral:rRNA from 1 species